rnacentral:piRNA from 1 species
UAGGGAAGCAAGUGACGGUUGAGCCAU